GUCCUUGCCGUAAACGAUGUGGAUUAGGUGUUUGGGUGUCGAUCCCUCAAGCGCCGCAGCUAACGCAUUAAAUCCACCACCUGGGGAGUACGGUCGCAAGACUGAAACUCAAAGAAAUUGACGGGGACCCGCACAAGCGGUGGAGCAUGUGGUUUAAUUCGAGGCUACGCGAAGAACCUUACCCAGGUUUGAAAGCAGUUGCCAGUCCAUGAAAGUGGAUCUUCUCGCAAGAGACAAUUGUACAGGUGCUGCAUGGCUGUCGU
rnacentral:rRNA from 1 species